rnacentral:rRNA from 1 species
UACAGAGGGUGCGAGCGUUAAUCGGAAUUACUGGGCGUAAAGCGUGCGUAGACGGUCAUGUAAGUCGGAUGUGAAAGCCCCGGGCUCAACCUGGGAAUUGCAUUCGAGACUGCAUGGCUUGGGUGCGGAAGAGGGAAGCGGAAUUUCCGGUGUAGCGGUGAAAUGCGUAGAUAUCGGAAGGAACACCAGUGGCGAAAGCGGCUUUCUGGUCCGACACCGACGUUCAGGCACGAAAGCGUGGGGAGCAAACAGG